GCAAAAACAAUAAAAUAAAAUUCUUUAAUUCAUUGAUAAAAAGUAAUUUUUUACAAAAUUAUUACAAACUUUAUACAUGUCUUAUUCUACUCUUAAAAUAUAAUAAAAGAAUAAUCAUUAUAAAUGCUAAAGCAAGCAACAACUAGAAUAGAGCAGCAUCGCUCAUUUGCUUAUCAUUGAAAGCUAUUUGGCAUCAUAAAGACUGUAAAUGUAGUAAACAUAUGGCCCUCGCAACCAAUCCCGAGCUAUUAUUUUCAUGAUCUACAUAAAAUCAGCUUUAGUAUAAGAAGACAAACCAUAGAGACUAAAAAACUAUGAAUAAAAAUUGAAAGAAAUUUCCCGAAGAAAACCAUAUCACAAAAUGCUUUAAUAUGUUUUGCAAAGAAUAAUCUCAUUAUUUAGAUAAAUAAUAUUAGUUCUUCAAAAUAGUAAAGACCAAAGAAUAUAUGAAGCAAAGAAAUAUAAUUUAUUAUUUUUAUCAAACAACAAACGAGACUGUGAUUGAAGAUUGAGGUGUCAUGGUUCAUUUAGUGCUAGUCAAGAUAACAUUAAAAAAAAUGUGAUUCCCUAAGAUAAAAUAAUGAAGACAGGCUGGAAAGCUAACUAACUUGACAUAUAAGGAUAAAGCAGCUAAGCAUCAUGACAAAGAUUAAUCAUGAAAGCUUGUUAUUCUACCUUGUGAUGGCCGAUACAUAUACAGAGAGGGUGCAUACAUAGAAACUUAAGCAAGUGUUCAAGCAUUAGUUACAAACUAAAUGUCUAAAAAGUGAUUCAGCAAUCUAAAAAGAGUGACAACUUCUAUUUUUUCUAGCUUCAUAUGACUAAUUUUUGUUUUAGGUUAUUGAGGUAAAAGUCUUUUACAAGUUCAUUUUCUUAUUAAGACUUUCAAGAUAGAUGGCCCACAAUCAUCAGAAAUAGAACAAAUUUCAAAUGAAAAAGAAACAAAGCCAACCCAAAAGAAAGGUACUAUAAUUAUAUAUAAUAAUACACACACAUUCACUUGAAAAUAAGAAAAAUGAACAAAUAUUUGAAUCAAAUUUAAAAAUACAUAAUAAAUUAGAUCUAAUUUGCUUUUGGAUCUAUUAUCUAUAGGAAAAGAGCAACGAAGUAUCCUAUGGAGGUACUUUGUAGAAGCAGGGAAAGAAAUAGCAAAAAAAUGAACCAAACUAAUUUCUCUAAGUCAAUCAUUGCAUGGAAGGAUAAUGAGGCUACCAAUAGAUACGAAGGCAUGGAUUACCAAAGUAAAAACCACUCAUACAAUGAUUUAUGUUUAAUAAAAGCAAAGCCAUUUAUUUACUACUAACAUAACAAGAUAUAAUACUAUUAAAACAAAUACAUUUGUGUAGCUUAUGCAAACUAAGAAUUUGAAAAGGAAAGACUUGUAGACAUUAUACAGUAAAAAUAAUACAAGUCCCACAAAGCAAAUUUUGAAUAUAAAUUUAACAAAAGGUAUACUUGCAUCUUAGUCUCCUCCCAAAAUAGUCCUACUCUUUUUUCCUAAAACUUGUUCAUCUACCUCAACCAAACCAGAAUAUACAAACUGUUAUAAUCAAAGGUGAAAAUUAACUAAAUAUUAUAAAACUAUCAUAAAAUAGUUGUUUUUCACUGUCUACCGUCUUUGUAUCACAAAGUUUAGUAAAGUGGAGAUUGAGUUGUAAGAUUAAUUUUUAAAAAAAUAGAGAAAUUUCCCAACUUUUAGAGGUUAGCUACAUAACAGUGUAUCUGUUCCACUCAAUUUAAGGGCUUUAGCAAUUGAUGAAAGAAUUAAAGAAGCUAAAUCAUAUUCUAAAAGGAUUUCAACUAUGUAAUAUGGUCUACAUCUAAUAGUACUUGAAUCACAAAUAACAUUAAUAUAUCAAUAUAGUACACCUUUUUUCUUCAACACCUACCAAAAGCAUUCUCUAGAAAACUAUUGCAUGCUAAUGUUAAUUUUAUGUUUGGUACAAGGAAGGGAAUAUGACAGGAAUGCAUAUGAAAAUAAGAGCAAGAAUGAGAACAAAAGUUAGUAUUUCCUAGUUAGUUGGUGAAAAGUUAUAAAGCUUGAAUUUACAUUUCUACUCUAUAUUUAUACUUGCUAUAACCAUUUUUCCCUUAUUAGACAUUCAAAUAAAAUUCUCAGUUUGCUUGUUUACCAUGCUUUUCCUUCUUUCACCACCUGGCACAUUACAAUCCCUCUAAUUUCACAAACUUUCAUGUAAUUUCAAAAUUAAUAACUCAAAUGCACCAUUAAUUAUAUGUUAAACAGUGUAGUCACUUCCUCAAAAAUGGUAUCAUCCCUAGUGUUUGAAUAUUUUCAUAAAUUAUUUAUAUUUUGAUAUUAUAAAAUACAACUGCAGAAUGAAAAACCCAAAUUCGAGAAAACCCAAAUCCUUAGUGUUUGAUCACCAACGCUCAUCAAAUCAACUACCAAAACCAGAUACUAACAUUCGCCAGACAUAAAAAAAAAAAAAAAAAAAUCCCAAAUGCAAGAACUAAAAACCCUAAACUACCCAAAACAUGGACAACAAAACCUUGUUAAGAAAUCCAAUCAAAACCCAAAAAAAUUUAAGAAGUCUCGCAUACCUCAAAUAGAACUGGAAGUGAGGGUCUCGUUGACUGCCAUAGAUGAAAGAUCAAAAAUGUCACAGGCAGCUGAAAAAAGGGGCAAAAGGAGAUGAUUUGGGGAUAGAAAAAAGAGAAAGGAGCUCGGAUUUGGUCAUGAAGGUCACUUGGAAUCUGUUACAAGCUGUUAGAGUAUUGGGCUAAUUGGGUUUUUAUUCAAGUCUAGUCCAAUAAACAUAAGUUUAUUUUAAAUGUUUG
rnacentral:lncRNA from 1 species